GGCGAGCUGUUUGACGCGUGAUAUUCCGCAGGUCAUCUGAGCCAACAUUUUGAAAAAGGGAAUUGUCACUGAAUAGACUGAGGUCUACUUAUUCACGAUGCCCACCUUAUUAUUUAUAAGGUUCGAAUAGACUGCAAUACACGGUCAAUUGGCCCCUCC
rnacentral:sRNA from 1 species